rnacentral:rRNA from 1 species
GACGAACCGUCCCGAACGUUAUUCGGAAUCACUGGGCUUAAAGAGUGCGUAGGCGGCUUAUCAGGCGGGGUGUGAAAUCCCUCGGCCCAACCGAGGAAUAGCGCUCCGAACCGAUAGGCUUGAGGAGGAUAGAGGUAAGCGGAACAGAUGGUGGAGCGGUGAAAUGCGUUGAUAUCAUCUGGAACACCUGUGGCGAAAGCGGCUUACUGGGUCCUUUCUGACGCUGAGGCACGAAAGCCAGGGUAGCGAACGGGAUUAGAAACCCGGGUAGU